CUAUCAGAAAGUGACUCAGGAGACGCAGGACAGGAGGCAGGGAAGGCGAGUAUGGGCGAUCUGUUCCCGAUGGACCAUGAGGCGACGCCAGAGCUUGUUUCAUUAUCGGGACGGUUUGGAACGGCCCAACUGGCAGUGUUGGGAAAGUUCACUUUCUACGUGAAGUAGUUAAAAGUUCAGUUCACAAAUUUUAAAAUGAACUAGUUCAGUUAAACGUUCAUAAUUCAAAAUGUUGAACUAAGUUCAGAGUUCCAAAAACCCCCUUUGUGGUUUGUCUAGGAUGAAAUACAGUGGUUGAUUCAAGUAUCGUAGCGAAAUACAUUUUUUUCUGUCGGACUCAUUGCUUGUUGGCCGGAAACGGGGGGUGUUCACGUUUGGUUGUAGUCUUUUUGCUUGGUUCUAGCCCUACUGUUGAGACGGAGAACCAAGCGAAAGACUACAACCAAACGUAAACAGCCCCCCUUUCCGUUUCCGGCCAACAAGCAAUGAUUCUAGAAUGAAUGAGUUCACAGUAACGUUCAUCAGGCAGUAAUACAGUACGUUCAGUUCACGUUCGCCCAAAAUAUGAACAAGGUCAUGAACUAUCGUUCAAUGAACGCGUUCAGGCACAACACUGCCAACUGGAGCAUCCCAACCUGACGAGUGCUCUCCAGCAGGUGACCGUGUAGGACGGGAAGGCCA